rnacentral:rRNA from 1 species
CGCGUAGGUGGUUAGGUAAGCGAGAUGUGAAAGCCCCGGGCUUAACCUGGGAACGGCAUUUCGAACUGUCUGACUAGAGUAUGGUAGAGGGUAGUGGAAUUUCCUGUGUAGCGGUGAAAUGCGUAGACAUAGGAAGGAACACCAGUGGCGAAGGCGGCUACCUGGACCAAUACUGACACUGAGGUGCGAAAGCGUGGGGAGCAAACA